GGAUUUAUCCUCUGCAGACCAUGAAUGUUCCAAAUUUCAUAGCAAUUCUUCCAAAGUUUAAAUAUAUUUUUAACUUUUAACAAAACAUGCUGAAGUUCCAGGUGCUGUGGGGAACACAAAUAUGUGUCCUCUCCGUUGAAAGUAACAGGGGAAAUAAGUGCUAUAGUGCACACACAGCUUCAUAACAGCAACAAAGUUCACUCAGUCAUUUCUCAGUCAAACUCAGUGCCAUGAGACUGUGGAGCACAAGCAGUGGAGUCGACCCUCUGGUGUUCCUGUUUACCGUUGAUUUGUGUUACUGAUGUACUUUGCCCUGAGUGCACUCCUUGGUUGUAUUGUGUCUGACUGUUUGUUGGUUACAGUCUGUCUGAUUGUACUUCCAUCUGCAUUGUGCCACGUUCAGUCCCAAAGGGAAUCUCCUGCUGCAGAGGAGCAGUAAAGUAAUACUGCUGCUACUUUGUCACAUCCUGCACAUUCAGCACAUACUCCUGCAUGGCACAGGAAUAGACAUCAUCUGGAGAAGAGGUCUUCAUGAAGACCAGUCAACCUGUGGCACCACCAGUUGUGAAAGAAACACUCAAAUCUUUGGCUUAGAGGAUAGGUUCACAAUUUUUCAAGUCAGUUUUUCAAAGUUACAGUUUUUGUAGUAUCAAAUGUUCCACAGACAGUGUUUCCUUGUUGAGCUGCGUCGGAGGAACAGCAACACAGAGGUCAUUUUGCACUAGAAAGACAAACUUAGCACAUUAGGAACAGAUCUUUUUACAGCAAGCAAAACCCUGUUUCAGUGUUCAUAUGGGCACCUGACAAUUGUUUCAAGACAGGCUUGAAAAAAUGUGAACCUACCCUUCAAGUAAAGCUAUAGGUAUUCAGAAGUAAAGGUUUUGUGAUUAAAUGUUCCUUUCAGUGUUAAAUUGUUGUUGCAUCUGGUCUAACAUGUAACAAACAUUUCAAUAUAAUUGAUCUAUCUGCUUCAUUUUUUCUGAAUUAUAUUUUCUUUAUUUUUUAUUUGUAUAGCAGUUGUAAUAUAUACACAUAUACACACUCAUGUAUACAUACAUAGCACCUAUAUACUAGCGUAAAUAUAGCUACCCAAAUACUGUAUGUACAUACAUAUAUACAUACUUAAAGUAAGAAUAUUAAAGAAAAAAUCAUUGAAAUGAAAGAAAUAAAUACAUUAAAAUUUAAGCAAAUUUAAGCAAGAGGAAUAUUUGUGCAGCUCCCUCUGCAGGUCCAUAUGGAGCACAGCAGGUGUCAGGAGGAAAAACCUGAUAGAUGUGCCUUCUGGAUCAAUAUUUUUGUCCUGAAAUUACUUAUAUCCACGUAGUCCAUGUUCUUUGCACAUCCAUCUGCAGCAAUGAAGUGCUCCAGAACUUUAAAGUUCAGAGUUCACGACCUGGCUGAGAUCAACAUUUCAUCACUUACUGUAAAACAUUGCAACACAAUCUGUCGCCCUGUAAAAUAUGAUAAAGUGAUGUUUAUUGUAACAUUGCCAAAAUGUGACGCACAUCAACAUAUCUCAGUCCAAGAAAGUGAAAUUGCAACAACGUCAAGUGGAAUAAAAUCUGAAAAUACAUUUUUAUAAAAACAAAAACUCUAGGACAGACAUCCCCUUGAAACUCUUGAAUCCCAAUGUUUAUUACAUUGUGAUACACACUGUAUUAUAACAGUUAGGAGCUGUUAGGAACUCACCCAGCCAGCAGUCAAAAGAAGCAGAACCUUCAGUGCCUGCUGCAACACUAUUCAUUUAAAGUAAUGAACUAAGUCAUUUCAGCUAACUAAUUUGAGGGAAUUAGUUAUUUAAAAAUGUCUCCUGUUACCUGCCUGGGUCUGUAGGCAUUAACCAAUCUGUACAAAGAUUUAGUUGAAUGCAUAUUAAAAUGAAUUAUUUUAGCCACCGAGUUAUGUACAAUGUGUGUGUGUGUGUGUGUGUGUGUGUGUGUGUGUGUGUGUGUGUGUGUGUGGCAGAUUUAUACACUCAUCACAUCACCUAACUCACAUUCAAAUGUUCUAUUGUUCUAAUGUUCAAUAGUAGCUUGUUACGCAAAGGUCUUAAAUGACAUAAAUGUUACCGUGGGUAUUUCUAGCAUUCAUUUGUAUUCUUCAUCAUUACAGAGCUUCUCUCAUUACAGAAUAUUACUGUGGUAGUUUAGGUGUUAUCACUUCCUGGUUUAUUUUGUAGUAUUCUCCUUCCCUUGUGUGUCUUGUGUUUUGACUUCCUGUCUUUGUUUUCCUUCCAGUUUUGAUUGUUGGUCCUCCCUUGAUUGUUUGCACCUAUGUCUCGUUGUCUCACCUCCCCUAGGGUAUUUAGUCUGUGUCUUUUCUUUGUUCAGUGUUGGAUCAUUGAGUUGUCGAGCAUUGACUGUAAGGUUGUAUUGGAUUCUUUGUUCUCCCAUGGACCUAUUUUUGGAUUUUGCCUGCUCCCUUGUGAACUGUGUUUUCCACCUUGGACUCACUCCCCUGUUUUCACCUCUGCCUGUACAUGCCUGCAUUCCCCAUAAUAAACACGGUAGUCAUCCGGCUACUUCACCCUGA